rnacentral:tRNA from 1 species
GCCUGGGUGGCUCAGUUGGUUGAGCUUCCGACUCUUGAUUUCGGCUCAGGGCAUGAUCUCACAAUUCGUGGGUUCGAGUCCCACGUCGGGCU